GCCCAUAUCUUAUUCUACGCAGAAUGUUCGUCGCCUUCAACUCCGACUCUUCCAAUUCACUAUUCUAAUCUCUGCAAUCUCUCUGUAAUUAUUACACCCCAAUCUUGCUCAUUCAAUUCUGAUAUUUUCUCCUAUCUUCAUUAGAGAUUAUCGUUCCACCUUCCUUUGUUUUUCCUGUUAUAUAAACCCUUUGAUGAUAUGAUAAGACAGGUCCGUUAACUAUUGUCAUUCCAGCCUGAGUUAUCUAAAAUAUGAACCCUCGACUCCAGAUUCAUAACACAAUGACAAUUUGUUGUUCUCUACAUUUGAAAGUCAGUCGUAGAACUCGGCCUCACGCUGGUGCUGAUCGUCUUCUCCGUCGUCGUUUUAGAAGCUUGGAGAAGGAGACACAGUAACGUUUCUGUCGACACCGUGACAACUACACUCGAGGGUCCGACAUCCUUAAAACAGGAGAGUCUGUCUAACGAUGUGUGUUGUUUAAGAAAUAAAAGAGUAAAACAGACAGAUCGUGGAUGCGCAGUUGUAUGAUAAUAAUUUCAAGAGAGGAGCAAGCAAAAAGCUUCACUUGAGAAGGAAAUUCAUCAUACUGUCAGUAGAAAGAUAAGAAGAAAAGUUGAUGACGAGAUCAACAACAGAUUGAGUUUGGGAACACUUUUCUUCCAGCCUAACUUCCUGGUUACGGUUGAGGUAAUGUAAAUAUUUGCUCGAUUUGAUUUAAGAUGUGGUCAGCUCCUAUUUUUGUUGCAUAUGGCGACAUCAUCUGAUUGCAAAACAAGUUUAAGGCGUCUUAAAUUGGUAUGAUUCAUUACACAGUCUCUUACUGAAUAAAAAGAGGUUUUUUUUUCGAGGUCAUUGAUGAGACACUUAGUAAUAAUAUUCUCUAUGCCUUUUCCCUUCCAUGAAGCAAAAAGUGAUGGCCAAAUAAACGGCCAGUCUAUUCUCAUCGCGUACAUGGAACACAAUAAAUCAUCUUUAAACCUUUUUGUUUGUUCAUUUUUCAUGUUUAUGUAUUUAGCCAAUAUCAUACCAAAAGGCUGGAAGGUACUUCUCACUUUGUUCAGGUACGUUCACCUAGAACAUGAGAUGUACCUGAAACCAAAGAAAUAUGAAACUUCAAGAUGAUAGAUAUGUAGAUAUAACAGAUUUGUGGCGCAUUCAACAAUUAAACUGUCUUCGUAAUUUGUAGUUGGUGUUGUAAAAGAGUAACUAAACAACAUGGUCAAGUUCAUUCUACAUGGAUACAUGCCACAACUAGGUUCAUUCCUUCCUUUUCAUUUAGGAAGCGAUCUUUGUCCGGGAAAGAUCUUGCCAAGCUCUAGAUUUCCAUUUUCCUUCAUCUUGACAACUGAAGAUGGGUUUAGCUACUGUAGCUUUCAAGCUGUGGGUUAUGACUUCAACACUAUCCAGCUGGUGAGAAGGGUUCUGUCUUGCUUUGAUCCCAAUAAAUUCUUUGUAGGGUGUCGCAGUGAACGCGUACCAGCCGGAAAUUAGUGUAUACUUGGAAGAUUAUGGGUGUAGAGAGAGUGGACCAGUGAAUAGUGAUGUAUCAUACGUUUGAAAACCUUGGCAUGUAGUGUGCGUAGCCUAGACCUACCUUGAAGUGGGACUGGAGCAGGCUGAGCAGCAAUAACAAGAGGACACGAGGGAAUCUAGCAGAACUUUAUCUGAACUCUUUUCGAGCUUUCUGUUUUUGCAUUUUUUUUAAGUAAUGACUAAUUAUUUGUGAAGUUAAGGUAUUCCUUUCAAAAUCAUGUGUUGUACAAAUUUGCUUUAAUAUACAGCUUUGUACAUUA